GUUGUGAACAGUGUAGCCGCCGCCGGCAAGGGGGGCGCAUCGGGGAGCGGACGCCGCAUCCCCUUUCUGCCGCAGGGACCUCUCAUCAGACCGCCUGAGGGAAGCGGCGCCCGGAGACCCGCCCCGGCCCGGUCCACGUUCUACCCAGGAAGCCGGACUCUAUGGGGCGGGACCCUGGGGGAGCCUGAGUCGAGCCCGGAGCCAGCCCCGAACCCCUGAACCUCCAGCCAGGGGUGCCCCGGGUGCAGCCAGUCCGUGGGCGCGCCGCCUGCCCGCUGAUCAGCCAUGAGCGAGACUGUCAUCUGUUCCAGCCGGGCCACUGUGAUGCUUUAUGAUGACGGCAACAAGCGAUGGCUCCCUGCUGGCACAGGUCCCCAGGCCUUCAGCCGCGUCCAGAUCUACCACAACCCCACGGCCAAUUCCUUUCGCGUCGUAGGCCGGAAGAUGCAGCCCGACCCGCAGGUGGUCAUCAACUGUUCCAUCGUCCAGGGCGUCAAGUAUAAUCAGGCCACCCCCAACUUCCAUCAGUGGCGCGACGCCCGCCAGGUCUGGGGCCUCAACUUUGGCAGCAAGGAGGAUGCGGCCCAGUUUGCCGCCGGCAUGGCCAGUGCCCUAGAGGCAUUGGAAGGAGGUGGGCCCCCUCCUCUCCCAGCACCUCCCACCUGGUCCGUCCCGAACGGUCCCUCCCCGGAGGAGGAGGUGGAGCAGCAGAAAAGGCAGCAGUCUGGCCCGUCGGAGCACGUAGAGUGCCGGGUCUCCAAUGCAGGAGGCCCACCUGUUCCCCCAGCUGGGGGUCCACCCCCACCACCAGGACCUCCCCCUCCUCCAGGUCCUCUCCCACCCCCAGGUUUGCCCUCCUCGGGGGUCCCAGCUGCAGCACAUGGAGCAGGGGGAGAACCACCCUCUGCACCCCCUCUUCCGGCAGCACAGGGUCCUGGUGGUGGGGGAGCUGGGGCCCCAGGCCUGGCCGCAGCUAUUGCUGGAGCCAAACUCAGGAAAGUCAGCAAGCAGGAGGAGGCUUCAGGGGGACCCACAGCUCCCAAAGCUGAGAGUGGUCGAAGCAGAGGUGGGGGACUCAUGGAAGAGAUGAACGCCAUGCUGGCCGGGAGAAGGAAAGCCACACAGGUUAGGGAGAAAACCCCCAAGAAUGAAUCUGCUAAUCAGGAGGAGCCAGAGGCCAGAGUCCCGGCCCAGAGUGAAACUGUACGGAGACCCUGGGAGAAGAACAGCACAACCUUGCCAAGGAUGAAGUCAUCUUCUUCGGUGACCACUUCCGAGACCCACCCCUGCACGCCCAGCUCCAGCGAUGACUCGGACCUACAGAGGGUGAAACAGGAGCUUCUAGAAGAGGUGAAGAAGGAAUUGCAGAAAGUGAAAGAGGAAAUCAUUGAAGCCUUUGUCCAGGAGCUGAGGAAGCAGGGUUCUCCCUGACAUCAGGGACGGACCCAGAAGACCCGCUUCUCCUUUCCGCACACCCCGCCUGUCACCCUGCUUUCCCUGCCUCGACUUGACUUGGAAUUGGCUGAAGACUACACAGGAAUGCAUCGUUCCUACUCCCCAUCCCACUUGGAAAACUCCAAGGGGGCGUGGCUUCCCUGCUCACACCCAUACUGGCUGCUGAUUGGCUGGGGAGGUCCCCGCCCUUUUCUCCCUUUGGUCCUUCCCCUCUGCCAUCCCCUUGGGGCCGGUCCCUCUGCUGGGGAUGCACCAAUGAACCCCAAAGGAAGGGGGAAGGAAGGAGGGAAUUUCAUAUUCCCUUGUUCUAGAUUCACUUUAACGCUUAAUGCCUUCAAAGUUUUGUUUUUUUAAGAAAAAUAUAUAUAUAUAUUUGGGUUUUGGGGGAAAAGGGAAAUUUCUUUUCUCUUUGGUUUUGAUAAAAUGGGGUGUGGGAGUUUUUAAAUGCUAUAGCCCCGGGCUUGCCCCAUUUGGGGCAGCUAUUUAAGGGGAGGUGAUGUCUCACCGGGCUGGGGGUGCCUCCCCCCACCCCAGGUACUCCCCUUCUCUCUGGCUCCUCCCCCUUUUCUAUGAGGAAUUAAGAUGCUGUAACUUUUUGGAACCUCAGUUUUUUGAUUUUUUAUUUGGGUAGGUUUUGGGGUCCAGGUCGUAUUUUUACCCCUUGGAGAAAAUAAGAUGAGGGAGAAAGGAAAAGGGGAGGAAACUUCUCCUCUCCCACCUUCACCUUUAGCUUCUUGAAAAUGGGCCCCUGCAGAAUAAAUCUGCCAAUUUAAAAAAAAAAAAAAA